UACGUAGGGUGCAAGCGUUAAUCGGAAUUACUGGGCGUAAAGCGUGCGCAGGCGGUCUUGCAAGACAGGUGUGAAAUCCCCGGGCUUAACCUGGGAACUGCACUUGUGACUGCAAGGCUGGAGUACGGCAGAGGGGGAUGGAAUUCCGCGUGGAGCGGUGAAAUGCGUAGAUAUCUACAGGAACGCCGAUGGUGAAGACGGUCCGCUGGGCAUGUCCUGACGCUGAGGCACGAAAGCGUGGGGAGCAAACAGG
rnacentral:rRNA from 1 species